UAUUCACAGGAUAAACUCCCGAUCUCCUUCGUAUGAUAAACUAGUACCUCUGGAAUGCAGCUCCAGACCUCAUCCUGCCUCUCUCUGGCCUCAAGUCUCUUCCUGAAUGAACCCAGCACUGGAGCUCUUAGAUCCAGGAUAUCUUUCCUUAUCAUUCAUCACCAGCAGAGACACAUCAAGGUGGAGUGCUCCUUGAGAUCAUCUGGCCUGCCACCAUCUCUUCAGACCCAGCUGAAUUGGAGGUUUCAACGAUGUGCAAACCCUGCAUGGUAUUCUCAUAGAAAACUAUGGGGGCACAGAAAUUCGAGGACACAGUGGAGGACAAGAAGAUUCAGAUUUUCUGG